CAAGAACAAGAUUAAUCGUUCAGACUGCACAUGCGCAAAUCGUAAGGUUUUUUUUUUUUUUGGCGGUCAAGUUGCUGUUGAUCUUCUUUUCUGACUUGUAAGAGAUUUGAAUGUGUCAGUGUAAAGGUCUAGAGAGAAGAUGGCCAAGACCUUUGCACACGGGAGGCUGGAGGAUGACUUAGACAAGCCACUGAUCACAGAGUUCAAGAUCAUGUGGUCAUGCCUGUUCGCGGUGGCAGGGGCGGUAUCAGAACUUUGUGAGGAUUACUGCUGCUCCCUGUAUUUCUUGACCAACACAAUGCCCAGCUCAGAAUUCAAGAAGAAAUGAGACUGCAGGGAGGAAAAUGACACAGGUUUUUUUUUUCUUUUUGUUAAGAAAGCACGUAAUUACGAGCUGAUGUUAACUUGUCGGUUUUGAUAGAUGUAAGGGCUAGUAAAUAAAAUCACGUGCUGCAUGUGUACAUGUCCAGCAUAACAUUUCCCUGAUCCACACUAAAACUAGGUUUGUCUUUUUAUCCGUUAGUGUUAUGAGAAGUUCAGUGAGGUGUAGUGUGUGUGUUUGUACAGUUCUAAAUUAUUUCAGUUUUUUUUUUCUGUCUUUAGAAUGAAUCAUAGAACAAGGGAGGGACUGUAUCCUCAUAAUAAGUUUAAUCUUCUUAUCUGAAUGAAGACCAGAACAUCGUCGUCAUCAUCAUCAUUAUAGUUUACUUUUCAACUAUAUUGGACCACAUGUUGUUAUGGAAUCGGUUUCUUUAAAUUUUUUAUGAAAUCUGAUAUAUAAACUCUGCAUUCUGUUUGGAAAAACUGUGCAGUCUAAUGCAAUGCAAUACCACAGCACUGCCAUGCAUUCUACUUAGGCAGAGCUUAUAUAUGUUUUGUUUUUACUGACAUUAUAGGAAAUGUGAUGAUUCUACUUGAGUAUUUAUUGCUCAGGUUGUAGCGGGUGGUGGAAGUAUACUGGGGUGCAUUAUAUUAGGAGUUCCUGAUACUGUGUUGAUACAUGUAUGGGAGGGCAUAGUAUUAGAGAUACUUGUUGACACGAAAACUGAAAAUGUCGAGGCUUAGUAAGUUUUGGGCAUUUGGAGUUGUUGUAUUAGAUUGCACUGGACUGCACAUCUUCCUAUUACCAAGUGUGUGGUGAGCUUACCUUAAAUAAUAAUAAUAAAUAAUAGGUUGUGAUGCUACAGCUGUUCAGAGAGAGCUCAAAUAAGUUACUACAGCAUCAAUGGUGAGGGAGGUGAAGCCACUAAGUCUGCAGACUGAUGCUGGAAUAGAGAUCAGAAGUGUUGGAUUUGGAACGCAUGGCCUCUGCUUGUGCACUCUUAAUAGGUGUGAUACAUGCACUGAACCUUGGUUAUCCUCUGGAACUGAAAGCUGCCUGUAAGGCAGUUCAGAAGCUUUUCCUUCAACUGGAUCCUGGUGGACUCUGAGCCAAGGUACAGGCGAUCAAGAACAAACUGUAUGAAUGAGCCAACCAUUGAUUUGGAUGCUGGAUAAUAUUGACACAUAAAGUGAUAGUUGGAUUUUUCUGCCACAUUAAGGCCCAUCCUAACUGUUAGUGCUGAGCCAUGAUGCAUCAUAAUGUGGCCAAUAAUGGGUUGCAAUUUGCUUAGUUGUUUUCAUGAAAUUGAUUGAUUUUUGUUUUUUUCUAUCAGUGGAUUAAUUUAAGUUAAGUUAUUUAAGUUGGGCUUUUGGGAAACCCACUUGUCUUAUUUUGUCUUAUUUUUUUGACUUUGCACUCAAGGUGAUUCAUAAAAAUAGUUUGGAAAUAGUUGUUUAUUUUCUGUCAAUCAACUCAUCAAUUUAUUAAUUGAUCAAGUUGUAUUUGCAUCUCUGAUCAUAUGUGUUAUGUUUCUGUGUGUUACUGUUUGAUUUUCAAAGCAAGUGGAGCAAAAUGUUAUCUGAAUCAGUGCUGUGCUGUUGAAUAAAGGAAAUAACAAAAAUA